GAACAUGAUGUGUUACUGAUCUCACCAUGGUAGAUAUCUCACAGCAUUAGCCAUGUUCCAUGGCAAAAUGAGCACAAAGGAAGUCGAUGAGCAAAUGAUCAAUGUCCAAAACAAGAACUCGUCAUAUUUUGUUGAAUGGAUUCCCAACAAUGUCAAAUCCACUAUUUCUAACAUCCCUCCAAUGGGCUUGAAAAUGGCAUCCAUUUUUAUGGCAACUCCACACAUCAAUCUAAGAUAUGUUCAUAAGGGUUAGUGAGCAGUUUAUUGCCAUGUUCCGCAGAAAAGCUUUCUUGCAUUGGUAUACCGGGGAAGGUAUGGACGAGAUGGAGUUCACAGAGGCAGAAAGCAACAUGAAUGAUUUAGUAUUAGAGUACCUGCAAUACCAAGAUGCAACCGCAGAUGAGGAAGGAGACGAGUCCGAGGAUGAAGAGGAAUAUCUACAAGAGGUCUAGAGGAACUCGGUUUGCUUAUAGAACAGAGAUCAUGAGGUUUACUUCUGUUAUACCUGUUUUUGCUUCUGCUUUGGAGUCUUUGCCUUUGUGUGGGUUUAUUCUCAUGCAAUGUUUUGUUGCUUGUUUCGAUAAUGAUGUCCCAAAAUAUAUCCAACAGGGGGGUAAAUUAGACUUUAAAAUAAUUUUUCGAUUCUUGCUCAAAACCUUUGAAAAAUUACAGUUUGGUUCAACCUAAUUUUCUACUGUGAAAUAUGUACAAUACUGCUCAAUUGAUA
rnacentral:misc_RNA from 1 species